rnacentral:rRNA from 1 species
CGUGUAGGCGGGAUCGUAUGUCUGAGGUGAAAUGCCGGGGCUUAACCCCGUGCCUGCCUUGGAAACUGCGGUUCUUGAGUGCGGUAGAGGGAAGUGGAAUUCCAGGUGUAGCGGUGGAAUGCGUAGAUAUCUGGAAGAACACCGGUUGCGAAGGCGACUUCCUGGCCCGUCACUGACGCUGAGACGCGAAAGCGUGGGUAGCAAACA